ACGCUCGACACCUACUGGAGGCAGCAGUGGGGAAUAUUGCACAAUGGGGGAAACCCUGAUGCAGCGACGCCGCGUGAGUGAAGAAGUAUUUCGGUAUGUAAAGCUCUAUCAGCAGGGAAGAAAAUGACGGUACCUGACUAAGAAGCCCCGGCUAACUACGUGCCAAGCACGCCGCGGUAAUCUGAGCGGGCUGGCAAGGC
rnacentral:rRNA from 1 species